rnacentral:tmRNA from 1 species
GGGCUUGACUGGUUUUGACAGCGGGCAGAGGAUGUACGUAAGCACGCGGAGCCUUGCAGCACUUGCUCCUUAAACUGAGUAUUGCAACAUAUAAUUGGCGAAAACAAUUACGCUCUCGCUGCCUAAUCGAAGUACAGUAGAUUACUGGCUCAAUCCCGUCACCAGGUGACAGGACGAGACGUCGCUCAAGCGGUGUGGUUCCGAAUCGUCUUGGUCUAGCGGCGCAGGUAAAUCGGAAAUAGUCUGGCAUAACCUCGUACGUCGGAUGAAAAUUUAGAGGAUAAGGUACCAGUUAGUCGUCCGGGGCUUGCUGAUAUUCGAAAACCAAAGCCGGAAUAAACGUGUAGAAAGCGUAUGGCUUCCCCGUUUGGACGAGGGUUCGAUUCCCUCCAGGUCCAC